rnacentral:rRNA from 1 species
AAUGAACGCUGGCGGCGUGGUUAAGACAUGCAAGUCGAACGGUUUUUUUGGUGUAGCAAUAUAUUAGAAAAGCAGUGGCGAACGGGUGCGUAACACGUGAACAAUCUACCUUUUAGUGGGGAAUAGCUCGCCGAAAGGCGAAUUAAUACCGCAUACGAUUAUGGCCCUCAUGGGUUGUAUAUCAAAGUCGGGGACCGCAA